rnacentral:rRNA from 1 species
GACGAACGCUGGCGGCGUGCUUAACACAUGCAAGUCGAACGCUGAAGCUCAGCUUUUGUUGGGUGGAUGAGUGGCGAACGGGUGAGUAACACGUGAGUAACCUGCCUCCUUCUUUGGGAUAACGCCCGGAAACGGGUGCUAAUACUGGAUAUUCACUGGUCUUCGCAUGGGGGUUGGUGGAAAGGGUUUUUCUGGUGGGGGAUGGGCUCGCGGCCUAUCAGCUUGUUGGUGGGGUGAUGGCCUACCAAGGCUUUGACGGGUAGCCGGCCUGAGAGGGUGACCGGUCACAUUGGGACUGAGAUACCGCCCAGGCUCCUACGGGGGGCAGCAGUGGGGAAUAUUGGACAAUGGGCGCAAGCCUGAUGCAGCGACGGCGAGUGAGGGCUGGAGGCCGUCGGGUUGUGAACCUCUUUCGCUCAUGGUCAAGCCGCAACAAUGGUUGUGGUGAGGGUAGUGGGUAAAGAAGCGCCGGCUAACUACGUG